rnacentral:rRNA from 1 species
AGAGUUUGAUCAUGGCUCAGGACGAACGCUGGCGGCGUGCCUAACACAUGCAAGUCGAACGAAGUAUAUUUUCGGAUAUGCUUAGUGGCGGACGGGUGAGUAACGCGUGAACAAUCUGCCCUGUACACAGGAAUAGCCUCGGGAAACUGGGAUUAAAACCGGAUAACACUUCUUGGUCGCAUGACUUAGAAGUCAAAUUGAUUUAGAGGUACAGGAUGAGUUCGCGUCUGAUUAGCUAGUUGGUGAGGUAAUGGCUCACCAAGGCGACGAUCAGUAGCCGGCCUGAGAGGGUGAACCACCACACUGGAACUGAGACACGGUCCAGACUCCUACGGAAGGCAGCAGUGGGGAAUAUUGCACAAUGGAGGAAACUCUGAUGCAGCGACGCCGCGUGAGUGAAGAAGGUCUUCGGAUCGUAAAACUCUGUCCUUGGUGAAGAAUAAAAUGACGGUAGCCAAGGAGGAAGCCCCGGCUAACUACGUGCCAGCAGCCGCGGUAAUACGUAGGGGGCGAGCGUUGUCCGGAUUUACUGGGCGUAAAGGGUGAGUAGGCGGUAAUAUGUGUCAGAUGUAAAAGGCUAUGGCUUAACCAUAGUUGGCAUUUGAAACUGUAUUACUUGAGUGCAGGAGAGGUAAGUGGAAUUCCUAGUGUAGCGGUGAAAUGCGUAGAUAUUAGGAGGAACACCAGUGGCGAAGGCGACUUACUGGACUGUAACUGACGCUGAGUCACGAAAGCGUGGGUAGCAAACAGGAUUAGAUACCCUGGUAGUCCACGCUGUAAACGAUGAGUGCUAGGUGUUGGGUAGCGAUAUUCAGUACCGAAGUUAACACAAUAAGCACUCCGCCUGGGGAGUACGGUCGCAAGACUGAAACUCAAAGGAAUUGACGGGGACCCGCACAAGCAGCGGAGCAUGUGGUUUAAUUCGAAGCAACGCGAAGAACCUUACCAAGGUUUGACAUCCCCUUGAAAGAUGCAGAGAUGUGUCCUCCCCUUCGGGGGCAAGGGAGACAGGUGGUGCAUGAUUGUCGUCAGCUCGUGUCGUGAGAUGUUGGGUUAAGUCCCGCAACGAGCGCAACCCUUAUCCUUAGUUGCCAGCAGGUUAAGCUGGGCACUCUAAGGAGACUGCCGAUGAUAAAUCGAAAGAAGGUGGGGAUGACGUCAAAUCAUCAUGCCCCUUAUAUCUUGGGCUACACACGUGCUACAAUGGUCGGUACAAAGGGCAGCGAAGGAGUGAUCUGGAGCAAAUCCCAAUAAACCGAUCCCAGUUCGGAUUGUAGGCUGCAACUCGCCUACAUGAAGUCGGAGUUGCUAGUAAUCGCGAAUCAGAACGUCGCGGUGAAUGCGUUCCCGGGUCUUGUACACACCGCCCGUC